CCUACGGGAGGCAGCAGUGGGGAAUAUUGGACAAUGGGCGAAAGCCUGAUCCAGCCAUGCCGCGUGUGUGAAGAAGGCCUUCGGGUUGUAAAGCACUUUCAGUGGGGAAGAAAGCCUUGGGGCUAAUACCCUCGAGGAAGGACAUCACCCACAGAAGAAGCACCGGCUAACUCCGUGCCAGCAGCCGCGGUAAUGCGGAGGGUGCGAGCGUUAAUCGGAAUUACUGGGCGUAAAGCGCGCGUAGGCGGUCUGAUAAGCCGGUUGUGAAAGCCCCGGGCUCAACCUGGGAACGGCAUCCGGAACUGUCAGGCUAGAGUGCAGGAGAGGAAGGUAGAAUUCCCGGUGUAGCGGUGAAAUGCGUAGAGAUCGGGAGGAAUACCAGUGGCGAAGGCGGCCUUCUGGACUGACACUGACGCUGAGGUGCGAAAGCGUGGGUAGCAAACAGGAUUAGAUAUCCUGGUAGUC
rnacentral:rRNA from 1 species